rnacentral:sRNA from 1 species
UGACGGUUUAAUACGCGGCCUACCCCUAC